rnacentral:rRNA from 1 species
UACAGAGGUGGCAAGCGUUGUCCGGACUUACUGGGCGUAAAGGGCGCGUAGGCGGCCUCCUCAAUUCAAUUUUGAAAUCUCCGGGCUUAACUCGGAAAGGUCAACUGAUACUGCGGGGCUAGAGUGCGGAAGGGGCAACUGGAAUUCUUGGUGUAGCGGUGAAAUGCGUAGAUAUCAAGAGGAACACCUGCGGCGAAGGCGAGUUGCUGGGCAGACACUGACGCUGAGGCGCGAAAGCUAGGGGAGCGAACGGG